AUGACUUAUGGUUUCCUGUACUUUUGAAGUUUGGACUUCUGACAGCUUCAAACUCGUAUAUGAAACUUAGAAACCUAUUCUAUAUUUUGGUUAUCAAUUAUUGAUGUUGGUGUUGUUGUUAUUCUGUCAAGCUAACUUCAUACUAUAAGGCAAAAUUCAUCAACUAUUUUCCCUCCAUGGGCACAUUGAUUUGGAGGAAGUUGAAUUUUAUUUCUUUCUAAUUAACCAUGGCUGUGAACCUAUCCUCUGGUUCUCCUUACAAUUUUUUUUUUCCUUUUUCUGUUUAUUCUAUGAGAACAUUUUGUUUACUAUACUGAUUGGUCUAAGAUUCCUUCAUUAGUUUGUCUAGAUUGAGAAGACUAUACUCUUCUUUCUGGAGCAACAAGGAAUUAUUGCACACAGGAUUCAAGAGUUGGGAGAGGAGCGUACUAUACUUCUUGAGCAUCCAGAGAUAUCUAAGCUAUAUCUAAUUUGCAACAAGCAUAUAUUGAAGUUGGACAUGAUCUUUUAAAGCUUCUCAGAUUUGUAGAUAUGAAUGCUACUGGGAUUCGUAAAAUUUUGAAAAAAUUUGAUAAAUGAUUUGGCUACAAGUUCACUGAUUACUAUCUAAGUACUAGAUCAAAUCAUCCUUAUUCUCAGAUACAACAAGUAUUUAAGCAUGUGGAGCCUUGUCUCGCAAUCUUGUUGAGCUUCAAGAACACCAAGGAAGUUAUCUCUCUCUUUAUGAUCAACCCUCAACAACUAUUGUGGUGCAAGACCCUGUCAUUUGCUUAAUACAAGCAUCAGUGGAAAAAUUGACUUGCUCAACAAAUUUCUUGAAAUUCUUGGGACAACAUGCACUUAUCCAAGAAGCUGAGGAACAUGUUGAUGAGAGAAGAUAUCACUUUGUGUCACUUCUUUUGAACUUGGUUAAUACUUUUCUUUAUAUGGUCAACACUUAUAUCAUUGUGCCAACUGCUGAUGACUACUCGAUGAGCCUUGGAGCUGCUGCAACAGUUUCUGGGAUCAUUAUUGGUUCUAUGGCUGUAGCACAAGUGUUCUCUUCAGUUUAUUUUAGUGCAUGGUCUAACAAGUCAUACUUCAGACCUCUGGUAUUUAGCAGCAUCGUACUCUUUUUGGGCAACGUUCUCUAUGCAUUGGCCUAUGAUCUCAACUCCUUGACAAUUCUUCUCAUAGGUCGACUUAUGUGUGGGAUG